CUUGACUGCCUCUCCUCCUCAUGACAGAAACGGUUGAGGUCCAUGAGUCUGAGACAGCUGCUGACUUAAGAGGUGCUGCUGCUGCUUUUUUCUGAGAGUCUGGGCAUCUUAAAUAUUUACAUGGCAGAAGUCCCUUGUCCUUGCUCCCUUCCUGCCACUCAGCAAAAGUGAAUGUGCAUCAGAGAUCCCAAUCUCCCACGGAAGAUCUAAGCAGCAGGAGGAGAAAAUGCAAACUACAGAGAAAACUGCUGAUCCACAGACAGCAAUUCGGAACGAAAGAGGAAACAAGAGUCAGACAGUGCCAGGAGCCAGGAAGCUUGUGCAGUCUUUGCUGUGCACAAAGUCUGUUAUCAGUCCAAAAUGCACUGGUAAUUUUUGUUAAUUAAACGCAGGCACUUUGAGAACUCGGUUUCUGGUUUUGCUUGUUCAGCUUCCAGUACUCCUUCCCACCCCUCCACAACAAACUUUUUUGCCCACAUGAGGCAGUGGUCAGCAUAUCCCAACAGGGAGAAAAAGUGCAAGGAAGAAUGGAUCUUCUGGCUUUCUUAAGAGAGAGACACACCACUGGUCCACCAAUGUCAACGCUAUUAAUGCUAAAAAGUAGUGAUUCUCUGGGAUUUCAGGUGAAAUUUCUUCCAGUCCUACCUGGAGUAGCCAGGGACUGGACAUGUGGCAUUUUGUGAGCAAAGCAUGCAGCUUUAUCACUAAGCUACUGCUCUUCUAUUGUUC